ACGAACGCUGGCGGCGUGCUUAACACCUGCCAGUCGAACGGAAAGGCCCAGCUUGCUGGGUGCUCGAGUGGCGAACGGGUGAGUAACACGUGGGUGAUCUGCCCCUAACUUCGGGAUAAGCUUGGGAAACUGGGUCUAAUACCGGAUAGGACAAUCGUUUAGUGUCGGUUGUGGAAAGUUUUUUCGGUUAGGGAUGAGCCCGCGGCCUAUCAGCUUGUUGGUGGGGUAAUGGCCUACCAAGGCGUCGACGGGUAGCCGGCCUGAGAGGGUGGACGGCCACAUUGGGACUGAGAUACGGCCCAGACUCCUACGGGAGGCAGCAGUGGGGAAUAUUGCACAAUGGGCGCAAGCCUGAUGCAGCGACGCCGCGUGGGGGAUGACGGCCUUCGGGUUGUAAACCUCUUUCGACAGGGACGAAGCUUUGGUGACGGUACCUGUAUAAGAAGCACCGGCUAACUACGUG
rnacentral:rRNA from 1 species